rnacentral:lncRNA from 1 species
UUAUUUAAAAGAAAAAUUGUCUAUAAUUUUGGACUAAAAGUUACCGAUAAAUAUUUCUCUCAAAAAUAAAAAGUUACCGAUAAAUAUGUAAAAGGUAAAUUGCACGUUUGUUUCUCAAACUAUGAGACUUGUGAUACUUUGAUUUCAAACUUUAAUUUAUUAUGAUUUUUAACGCGAACUUUCAGAAUUAUAUAUUGUCAUUAAGUGCCACAGCCUAAUUUAGGUAACUAAAUAUUAAUAUAUUGCUAAUAUAGAGGUGAUAUAACAGUACUGCAUGCGUUUAAUAAUACCUUAAUAAUUAAGAUGUCAUGUUACUUUAUAUCAAUAAUACGUUAAAAUUUAAUCAAUUAAAUUAGAUUGUAGAAUUUGAAUAUUGUAAUAAUUUUAAAAUUUCACGCUAUAAAUUACAAUAAAUUAAAGUUGGAGGCUAAAAUGUCAUCCGACUCUCAGGUAGCGUUUGGAUCAGGGAUAAGGGGAGGGAUAACCCCUUAUCCCCCCUUUAUCCAAACGCAAAUUUUUUACCCGAGAAUAGUAAUUUUCGGGUAUCCAAAAUAAGCUGGUAUAAUUAUUCCCACCAACACCUCAAUUUUCUAUAUAUAACUAUCUACUAUUUUUCUUAUUCCAUAUUAUCUAUCCAAAAGUUAUUUUUCUUAUCCCCUGAAACAACCCAAUUUUUAUCCAAAUACUAUUUUUUUUAUCUCCAUAUUUGUAUCUAUUCCUGUAAUAACUAGUUUUUUUUUAUAUCCGAACCAAACGAAGUCAUAGUUUGAUUACACUAUGAUAGAGCUUGAUAACAAUUGAUACUGUUUCAAAGAGAGAGAGAACAAAGCAGAGUCUUUAGAAAUACAAGUUAGCAAACAAAAUUAAAAAACCCAAAAAUUACAUAAAAUAGAGAAAGAUAAAGAUAGCAGUCCCUAGCUUUAAAAAAUUUAAAAAUAAAAAACAAGUCUAUAGGCCCCUAAACCUGUACAAACUAAUUAAUAGAUGACUCAAGUGCAUAGUAUAAAGCUCAAAAGAAAGAAAGAAACAGUUAGUGAGUAGUACUUAAAAAAUAAAAAAAUAACUACCUGUACACACACACACACACACACACACAUAUAGAGAGAGAGAGAGAGAGAGAGUCCGGCUAUGGUGCUUGUAAAAGCACAAAAUAUUUGGUGGUUGUAAAUUUUUUACCGUUAGAUUUACGCUUUUGAUCAUUUUUACCCGUUAAAUUAUACUAUUCAACCAACUAACCACUCAACUCUAGGGGGCCCACAUCAUCCUAACUACACAUUCCUUAAUCCAAGGACGGAAAACUUACAAGCACGAAAGACUUGGGUACUUCUAAAAACAUAUGAGCUCAAUUUUAUAUAUAUAUAUAUAUAUAUAUAUAUAUAUAUAUAUAUAUAUAUAUAUAUAUAUAUAUAUAUAUGAGAUAAGUAGCACACUACCCACUUCUAUAUAUAUAUAUAUAUAUAUCUUUUUGAGAGAUAAGUAGCACACUACCCGCUUCGUUUAUUUUAUCUAAAAAUAAACUUAGCUGAAAAUGUGAAGCAACUAGAUAUCGAAUUGGGAUCUCGGAUACCAACCACCAAGUCCUUCUUGAAUCUAAAGAACGGUCUUUGGAUGAGUUUGGUGUACAUUCUAUUCUUAGUCUAGGAAUUACAGAUAGCAUUGCUCUAUCUUAUAAGGAAAAUAAAAGGGAAAACUUCAAAAACCCCCCCUGUGGUUUCGUGCAUUCUCACUUUGCUACCCUGUUGUUUAAAACGUAUCAAUUUGCCCCCCUGUGGUUUCGUUUUUAUCUUUUUGUUAUCAAUUUUAUUAUUAUUAUUUUUUAAAAUCAGUGACAAAGUUAAAAUUAAAGGAUACUAAAGUGACUAUUUGAUAAAUAUAGAUGGUUAUCUGAAGUUUUUUGUAUAUAAUUUAACGAAAUAUUAACGAAAAAGCUUCCGAAAAAAUAAAAAUGAAACCACAGGGGGGUAAAUUGAUACGUUUUAAACCACAGGGUGGCAAAGUGAGAAUGCACGAAACCACAGGGGGGGUUUUUGAAGUUUUCCCAAAAUAAAAAAAUAAAAAAAGGCACAAAUUUCUUGUAUAUCUCGUAUAGGAGUGUACAUCUAAUCCUUCUUGAAUCUAAAGAAUUUACAAAAUCACUUUAGACUUUUAGGGCACAUUUGGUUUGAAGUCGGAAUUAAAAUCAGAAUCGGAAUCGAAAUAAGCUAUAAUCGGAAUUGGAAUGACUCAUUACCUAAUUCUGUUUAGUUCGUUACCUGAAUCGAAAUCGGAAUAAAUCAUUUCCAUUAUCAAUGUUUGGUUUAGAUAAAUAGAAAAAACGUAAUCAAAUUAAUAUGCUAACUUUAUCUUUAUAAUAUAUUAAUUUAAAUUCAAAUUUAUAAGUUAGAUUCAAAAUACUUGAUUAAGUUUUAAUUUUUAAUUCAAAUUCAAAUUAAAAUUUAAAAUUAUAAAUUUAAUUUCUAAAUUUAAACUCAUAUUUUAAUUUAAAAAGUUGAAAAAAUAAAUUUAAUCCAAAUAAAUAUCCAUUCCGUCCGGAUUCAACUUCCAAUCCGGCCUUCUAGGCCGGAUUGGAAAAAAAGGUAAUUGGGGAUUCCCAUUCCACUCGGGAAUCGAAAUCAGAAUGGGACUCUCACAUACCAAACACCCACAAACGAAUUCAUCUAUUCCGUUUUUGAUUUUAUGGUAAAAAAGAAGCGAACCAAACACGCCCUUGGUAUUAAAAAAUAAGUUGAUAUAAAAGAUAAGUAAAUCCUAAUUUUUUAAAUACUAUAAUGUAAGAUUCACACACACACACACACACAUAUAUAUAUAUAUAUAUAUAUAUAUAUAUAUAUAUAGAAUACGUAGGUGUACAGGCAUUGCUUUUAUUAUAAAGAGCAAUGCUAAGUGUAUACCUAGAUAGUUGGUCGAAGUUUGAGACCAUGACAUUUUUUAUGGUUAGAAUUAGACCACUAGUUUUAUCAACUUUUUUUUAACUAAAAUCUAAAGAAAUUUUCUCAAUCCCAGGAUGAAAAGGUACAAGAUGUUGUACACUCGUAUAUAAGGUGUACAUGUAGCAAUUUUCUAGAAUAAUAUUUUAGACUAAUAAUUAUCUAGAGCAAUGAUACCUAUAUACCUUCUAGACUAUAUUUAAGAUAGGGUUAUUUAUAUACACGUCCCUACAAAUAUAGUGAAUUACAGAAAUAUCCCUGCAAAACGAAAACUUCAUAAGUUGUCCCUACAAAAGUCUUAAGUUAUACAGAUAUGUUCCUAUCGUUAAGGACUGUUAGAAAAUUUUCGUUAACUACGGUUAAAAUACUUAACCAUGGUUAAUUAUAACGCGAAUUUACGGUUCUACCCUCCUUCUUCCUCCUCUUCUUCUUCCCUCUUCUUCGUCGCCGGCGAGGGAGAAGAUGCGGCGGCGGCCGCGAGCCCUCCCUCUCCCUCUUCCUCUUCCUCUCACUCUUCCUCUUUGCCCUUCUUCUUCCUCUUCCUCUAUCUCUUCCCUCUUCUUCGUCGCCGGCGAGGGAGGAGAUGCAGCGGCGGCGCGCGGCGGCGAACCCUUUCCCUCUUCAUCUUUCUCUUCCCUCUCCCUCUCCCUCAUCCUCUUCCAUUUUCUUCUUCCUCUCAUUCUUUCUCUUCCCUCUUCUUCGUCGUCGGCGAACCCGACCCCGCGCCGCUGCCGUCGUCUGCUCCGGCGGCCCAAAGAGGAAGAGAAAGAGAAGGGGAAGAAUGGUAUUUUGGAGGGAUAUAUUUAUGAGGGCAAAAUGGUCAUUUCACAAGAAAACUGUUAAAAAAUAAACAGUUCUCUAACGGAUGUUAACCAGAGAGACAUAUCUGCAUAAAUUAGGACUUUUGUAGGGACAACUUAUGAAGUUUUCGUUUUGUAGGAAUAUUUCCGCAAUUCACUAUAUUUGCAGGGACGUGUAUGCAAUUAACCCUUUAAGAUAUAUACCCAACUCAUCCUACGGCCUUUUUUCUCUCUCUAGUCUUAUUUUUUUAAAAAAAAUUAAAAUUUAUUUAAAAUUUGGUAAUUCUAAGAAUAAAAAAAUAUAAGAUUUAUACCUGUAUAUAAGCAUACAAAUAUCAUUUUUCUACGAACAAUGCUACUUGUAGACAUUUAUAAUCAUUAAGAAAUCUUUACAAUUAUCUGACUACAUGACCAAGUAGCUGGCUCUAUUGAUUUUUUUUUUCUUUUUUUAGAGAGAGAGAGAAAGAUAGCAUAAUAACUGUUUUGUUUAUUUUUUUUAAAUGAACUUAGCUAAAAAAAUAUAUAAAGUAACUAGACUUUUUACUUCUGAUCUCAAGUACAAAUCAUCAAAAUUUUAAUAGUUUUAAGUUGCUGAAUAUAAAAUAAACAAGAUAUAAAAAAAUAUUAAAUAUAAAAUAAGAGAAAUAUUAUUUUUUAAUAGUUAAUUUUAAGUCUCUGAAGAAGAGCAAUAGUUUCUCUUUCUCAGUCAAAUUAAUAGCGAUUCUCCGUACCAUCGAAAUGAGACAUCAAAACCUAGCUAGUAGUAGUAGGGCCCCAGUCUUGUUAAUUGUUGAGUGUGGAAACUUUUAUUGAUGAUGUCGGCAACGAGAAAUUAUUGCUUGAUCAACGUAGUCUACCCCAAUUUAUUCAUGAAGAACUGAAUUAUUCAUUGCUUCAUGUCAAAAUCGGAGCAUAUAUUCUUUUCUGGGAGACUAUAUUGUUUUUGAUUUACCACCACUAAUUAAGAUCUUUUCCUGGGCAGAUGUAAAACUAGCUAGGUCCAGACAAUAAUUUCUGAGUUUGGAAAUUACAAAAUAGUUGGUGCUUUCACUUUUUUAAUCCUGGGAACAACUCUUUGAUCAUUUCGAGCUCUUAGAUUAAUAUUAAUCGCCUAAGGGGUCCACUAGAUUAUAGGGAGGACCACUAUUAUUCUAAUAUUAUAAUUCUUGAUUUAAAGGCCGAAGAGUUAAAAAUACAAACCUAUUUUGUACUUCUGGAAGCAUAGUAUAUAGGUCUUCUACAUAAUUUUGUCGAAUCGUUGGCGCUAACCAUUAAUCCAAAAAACUCGAGCUGUUAGAAAUACGUAACCAAUUCAAUUAAAAUGUAUAGAUACAGCGCCCACGGGUCUCAAUUGUGACUCGGCCCAACAAGCCUCAUGCCAUUUUGAAUAUGACUUGGCCCACCCAGUCUCACGCCAUUUCAAACAUGACUUGGUCCAACAUAGUCUCCCGCCACAGGGCAUGAUGCUGGCCUAUUUAAGUCAACAAAUUUCUCAUUAAGAAAUAAGUUUAUUCUCCGAUGGAGGAAAAACAAAAACGAAAAAGAUAUUUUGAACAAUUAGGAUGUGUGAGACAUAUCUAGUGGAACUAAUCCAACCUAAUAAAUUUUCACUUUUGCAGGUGAAUUGAUUCUAUUAUAUUCCUUAAAAUCAAACUUUUUUGACUUCUUAAUUAGGUAAAAAUAUACAGAACUUAUCUAAAUUAUGAACUAUUAUGAAAUGACAAUCCAACCUUUCAAAUUUCGUGUCAAAACGACUCCGACUUGUUCCAAUACUCUCCAGACGUGUCGACAAGCCUCAGAUGCUAAAACCUCAAAGGCAACCAAACACUAAGGACAUUACAUCCUCCCCCACUACAAAAAGUUUCGUCCUCGAAACUUAAAAGCAUACCUCAAAGCUGAGCCUUGAACAAAUAGGGGUAAGACUCUUGCAUCACCAUCUUCGGCUCCCAAGUCGCCUCACGCUUCUCGUGAUUACUCCAAUGCACCUUUAUAUAAGGUAUGACUCGGUUGCGCAAUUCUUUCGUUUCACAAGUAAGAAUCCGCACCGGUCGUUCCUCAUAUCUCAAAUCCUUGCCAAGCUCCAGCGGAGUGAAGUCGAUCAUGUGUGAGGGGUCAAACACGUAUCUCCUCAACGCCGAGACGUAAAAUAUCAUGAAUACCGGCCAGUCAUGGGGGUAGAGAAAUCCUGUAGGCUACUGGUCCGACUCGCUCCAAUAUCUCGAAAGGGCCUACAAAUCGUGGACUGAACUUUUCACGAAUUCCGAAUUUGCUAUCCCUCAGGAUGGUGAGACUUUCAAAAAUACAUGAUCUCCAACUUGAAACUCCAAGUCUUGUCUACUGGUAUCAGCGUAGCUUCUCUGCCGACUCUGAGUAGUCUCAAGAUGUCGUCGUAUAACUCGGACCUUCUCUUCUGGCUCCAUCAGAAUCUCAGGUCCUAGAGUCUUCCUUUCACCCACAUCACUCCAAUGCAAAGGUGAUCGACACCUGCGUCCAUACAACGUUUCAAACGGAGCCAACUGAAUGUUCGCUUAAUAGCUGUUGUUAUAUGCAAACUCAACCAGUCUCAAAUGUCGAUGCCACCCUCCUCCAAAGUCUAGGACACAUGCUCUCAACAUGUCCUCCAAAGUCUGAAUGGUCCGCUCUGAUUGACCAUCUGUCUGUGGGUGAAAUGUUGUGCUGAAAUAUAGCUGUGUACCCAAGGUCGUCUGAAGGCUCCUCCAGAAAUGCGAGACAAACCUUGGGUCUCUGUCCGAUACUAUCGAGGUAGGCACACCAUACAGCCUCACAAUCUCAUCCAAGUACAACUGACCAAGUCUCUCUCUGGACCAGAUGGUUUGCAUUGGUAGGAAGUGAGCAGACUUGGUCAGCCUGUCCACUAUCACCCAAAUCGCAUCAAAACCACUCUGUGCUCUCGGUAAACCUACGAUAAAGUCCAUCGUGAUCUACUUCCAUUUUCACUCGGGCAUUGGCAGAUUCUGAAGCUUGCCAGUAGGUAUUCGAUGCUCAGCCUUCGUCUGUUGGCAAGUCAAACACAAAGCCACAAAUCUGCCAAUAUCUCUCUUCAUUUCACCAGAAGUGUACCUUCAAAUCCUUAUACAUAUUGGUUCCACCGGAGUGAACCGUAUAAGGUGAGUAAUAAGCCUCUCUCAAAAUCUCCUCUCGGAUUUCUGAAACCAUAGGCACAUAUAGUCGGUCCCUGUACCGCAGUACUCCCGAACUGUCCACAACAAAGGCCUCUGCCUAUUCCCUCUCUAACUGCUCUCGAAUCCUCAACAAAUGAGAGUCUCCACUCUGUUUCUUCCGGAUCCUGUCAAACAGAGUUGGCUGCAAGACCAUAGACAUCAAUCUCGCAGUAGACCUAGGGGACACUACCUCAUGCCUUAACCGCUGCAACUCCUCGAGUAACAGUCUCUGCGGAGUAAUCGUCAUGCUCAAGCUCUACACUGACUUCCUGCUCAACGCAUCUGCCACCACAUUCACCUUGCCGGGGUGAUACUGAAUGCUGAUAUCAUAAUCCUUCAACAAGUCCAGCCAUUGGCGUUGCCUCAGGUUCAACUCCUUUUGGAUGAACAGAUACUUGAGACUCUUAUGAUCAGUAAAAAUCUCACAGUGCUCACCGUACAGAUAGUGCCGCCACAACUUCAAAGCAAAAACCACCGCGGCAAGCUCCAAGUCAUGCGUAGGAUAAUUCUUCCCAUAAUCCUUCAGCUGCCGGAAAGCAUAAGCAAUUACCCUACAAUGCUGCAUCAGAACACAACCCAACCCGCUGUACGAUGCAUCACUAUAGAUUACAAAUCCUUCCCCCAUAACAGGAAGGGCAAGAAUAGGAGCCGACAUCAACCUCUGUCUCAACUCAUCGAAGCUCCUCUGACAAUCCUCACUCCAGACAAACUUAACUCCUUUCCGAGUCAACCGAGUGAGGGAUGUGGAAAGCUUCUCAAAGCUUUCUACAAACCGACGGUAAUAUCCAGCCAAGCCAAGGAAGCUCCUUACCUCGGUAACCGUCGUCGGUCUGGGCCAAUCCCAAAUAGCAUUAAUCUUCUUCGGGUCAACUGCCACUCUAGCUGCAAAAAUCACAUGGCCCAAGAAAGAAACCUCCCGAAGUCAAAACUCGCAUUUCUUCAACUUAGCAUACAACUUCUUCUCUCUCAGAAGCUGUAACACUAUCUUCAAGUGCUGCUCGUGCUUAACAUCACUCCAGGAGUGUAUCAGAAUAUCAUCAAUGAAUACAACCAUGAAUCUAUCCAAGAACGGCUUCAACACUCGGUUCAUCAAAUCCAUAAAUGCGGCAGGGGCAUUCGUCAAUCCAAAAGGCAUCAUUGUGAACUCAUAAUGCUCGUACCGAGUUCGAAAAGCCGUCUUGAGAACAUCCUUGGCCCUCACCCUCAACUCGUGGUAACCUGACUGGAGAUCAAUCUUCGAAAAGGCACAAAAUUCUUACAGCUGAUCAAACAAAUCAUCAAUGCACGACAAAUGAUACUUGUUCUUGAUGGUCACUUUAUUCAACUCCCGAUAAUUCACACACAGUCUAAGUGAACCAUCAUUCUUCUUCACGAAUAACACCGGCGCUCCCCAAGGCGAUAUACUGGGUCUCACAUACCCCUUAUCAACCAAAUCCUAAAACUACGCCUUUUAACUCUCUCAGCUCUGCCGGUGCCAUUUGGUAGGGUGCCUUCGAGAUUGGCGCAGUUCCAGGAACUACGUGAAUCACGAACUCAAUCUCUCUAUACGGCGGUAUAGUCGUCAACUCCGGAAAAAAAACAUCCGAAAACUCGCGGGCUAUAAGGAUAUCCUCGAGUCCCGGCGCUGCCAUAAGCACCUCUACUACAGUCGCCAAUAAAGCGAUACAUCCUCUACUCAAUAGCUGCCUAGCCCUCGCAGACGAGAUCCAAGUGGCAAACAACGUACUCUUGCAGCCCCUGUACGUGAACUCCUCCUGGUCUGGCUCGCGGAACGUCACCGUCCUCACUCCACAGUCGAUCGUAGCAUAAUACCGCGCUAGCCAAUCCAUGCCAAGCACCACAUCAAAGUCCUGCAACUGCCUCAAGACCAACAAGUCUGCAGGCAUAAUCCAUGAGCCCAACUGUACCGGACACAACCAACAGCACUCUGCUACCUACAAAAUAUGGUCGAAAAUCUGCAACUCUCGGGCAUGCAACAACGGCCCUAGCUCUAGACCAUGUAAUGAUGUAAAUGCUCGGCUAACAAAAGAAUGUGAUGCACCGAUAUCAAAUAAAGUACGAGCUCUACUACCAGAAAUCAAAAUGAUACCUGCCACCACCCGAUCGGCUGUUGUAGAGUCCUCCACCUGGGCUGCAUACACCCUAGCACUCGAGGCCUGCUGUUGCCGCUCACUCUGUCACGGCACUGACACUCUGUCAUCCUGACGAUAGCUGACACUCUGUCAUCCUGACGAUAGCUCGGCGACGCUCCAUAGGUCUGCUGGGGUGCCGGCGGUGCUGAUGCCGUCGAAGGUGCUGGUGAUGCUGCUCGGGGACAGGCUGCCUGCAAAUGCCCUGGCUGUCCACAAAUAUAACACCUGCCUUCCCUCUGCUCACAUGGCUGAGGCCGUGCGGUCCCCCACAAAUCACACACUACUGAGCACUCUGCUACUGUCUCUGCUAACGAGGUCCCCUAGAACGCUGUCGCCUCGAAGACCCACGACCCUGAGAGCGUGAUCGUAGAGGCCUCGGCGGACGCCUGCUAUUAGACUGUCCUCCAUCAUCAGGGACCGGGCGCUUCCUAUCCUGACUCUACUCCGGUACCAAUGCCCGCUCCCGGACUAAUACAGCUCCCCUCUCUACCCAAAGUGCCUACUCAAUUGACACAUCUAAGGUCCUCAGCCUCUGCGCUUGAACCAGAACAAAGAUCUCUGGCCUCAAACCUCGCUCAUACAGAUACACCUUGUGGGCUUCAUCCCUGGCUACGAACGGUACACAGUUCAGAAGCCAUGUAAACUCACGAGUAUACUCCUGAACUGACCGCUCCCCUUGCUGUAGCUUCUUCAGGUCCUCCUCGAGUUUUUGCUUCACGUUGUUUGGGAAAUAGGCCAGUACAGCAAUCCACAAAACUCGUCCCACCUCAUCUGUAGAGCAACCAAUCCACGAGUCUACCUCAUCCUCCUCCACCAAGCGUAGGCAUCACCUGCCAAACAGUGAACAGCUAGAUGUAUCUGCUCUCGUUCUGGUAUAAACAAAUCCUCAAAUAGCUUCUCCAUCGCACUCACCCAGCCCUCUACAACCCAGGGCUCCAUGCAACUGCCAUUGAAGUGUAGCGGAUCAAACCGACAGAAGCGAGCAAGCCUCUCGGUCAUCUGCUCCUGCUCAGCCUCGGACAUCUGUGACACUUCUCUGGAAGGUACAACUGGUACGGUAGAAGCUGCUACUGGUGGAGGUACAGCUAUGGCUGGUGCAGCCACUGGAGUAGUCUGAGGUGGCACCUGCUGCUCUGGUGCUCUGGGCGUUGUACUCAGCAGCUGAGUAAAAGUCUCACACAUCCUCCGUAAUAAUGCCCCCUGCUGCCUGGCCACCUCAGUUAGGGCAGCCAACUGCUCUCUCAGAUCAGGGGGUGCACUCGGCCCUGCCUGCUCAGGCAUCUCUGAUGGCGCGUCACGAUCUCGCGUCGGCGGUCGACCUCUACGUCGAUACAUGGCUACCCGAAACCAAAAUAAUGGUCAGAUACAAAACACACCCAACUCUCGACUCAAUCAAGCGAAAGUCUAGAAGACCUCCUAAAAAUUAUGCCGUCUGCAGCCGACAUAAUUUUAAUUCGCUGAAACAGACACUCCUUCAGUCACUCACUCUACUCUUGGAAGAGUUAAAAUAAUACAAUCGCCGACUUUCGCGAUAAGUCACGCCUCUCGCGUCCAGAUCUCCUGAAGUUUGCCAAACUUAGGGUUCCUAGGUCCCAACGACCUAAUUCUAAGAUCUGAUACCAACUUAAUCUGUCACGCCCCGGAUUACCACGUUUCUCCGGACACGCCAACAGAUCCGCCGUAUAUAUAGAAAUUUUUUCUGUAUACGAAGUGGUAGCUGUACCUGUAAAAAAAACCAAGCUACAACUAUAAGGUAAAGUGCUGUUAAACUGAAAAUAACACACACACCACACACACACACAUACACACACACACACACACACACAAACACACACACACACACACACACACACACACACACACACACACACACACACACACACACAUAUAUAUAUAUAUAUAUAUAUAUAUAUAUAUAUAUAUAUAUAUAUAUAUAUAAACUUCGAGGGGUUCCUGUAUAUACAAAAUGUCUACUAUACCACUCGCUCCCGCGAAUAUCCUGAAAACGUGACCAUAUGUACAAAAGAACCCAAAACUACAUGUGGAAGGUACUCCUCUAGCACAUCAACCAGGGAAGGGAUGGCUCUAACUCACGACUCCCUUGCCUCGGUCGGAUUCCACAACAGCAGCAGCCGCGGACGAAGGCUCUACAAAAAGGUGUCAACAACUGGGUGUGAGAACUACUACAAAUAGAGUAGUCCUCAGUGGGUACCGUCACCGACCUCAACGGCUCACUCUCUAAGUCUACAGAAAAAUAUGCAAGAGAUAGUAAGGAAAGCUGGAAACCCUACAACUUUAUGCCACUAUACUAUCGCUAACCAACACUGGCUAUCUGUAGAUAUAGAAAAAAUACAAUCACUUACCCAAUCUCACUGGGGAUGGCGAUAUGCGUAUCUCGCCUGUCUAAGCUACACCGAACACCACCCCGAGGGCUGCAGGUAGAGAGCGAAGUCCUAACCAGACUACUACGACAUCAAUGCAGCGCAACGUAGCCAGACUCCGGAGCGGCACUCGUGGGCGCGGCUCAUCCGAGUAUGCGAGCGUGUCUCUGCUGAGCUCAAUCAGGCUCUCACAGCCUAUAGUCAAAGCAACAUGGUCAUACUGGUCUAACAACCAAAGCUUUCGUGCCCUUGACACAAUUUGAUGCAAGAUAUAAAAAUCUGGGUUCACCGUCAACCGCGACGGCACCUGACAGUACGUAACAGUCUACACACUACUGUAAAACGAGCUCGGCAUCCCAGCACGAGCGUAAACUCAUCCUACACUAAUCUGGGCAUCCACCGCAUACUAACAGCGACGAUACAAAAGAAUCACAGCUCCUAAAGCUAAAUCUGGUAAUUUUCAGAAAAGUGACGAUGAAGGAUUUAGAGUGUUUUCUCCUAUAUCAAUUCCAAGUCCAACAUGUAUACAAACACUAGCUCAACUCCAAAUUCAGAUUUAAUACUUUAACAUACAAUUUUCAUGAAUUCAAGUGCUAGCAAACAGAAACCAAACCGACGAACAUGCUGACGGUGCUAAGGAUUAGGAGGUAAUUCGAUGAUUUCGGUAAACAUUAAUCUACUUCAAAUGCUUGUCCAACCACGGCGAGAAGUCGAAAGGAGGGAAUCCACGCGCUCGCCCGACCUCCAACGGCACAACCGUGACGCACACACGCUCGAACGGCCCUCCGGAUCAACGUCGAAAACCCCCCGAGCUCGAGCCGCGACCUCCUCCAUGUACAGUAUCCACAAGCUAGAGAGAGAGAAAUGAGAAUUAAAACCCCUGCCCUACAACUCUCUCUAUGAAUAUAAAGGUUGGGAGGAACAUUGGGUUGAACGACCAAUCAAAAGACCAAACUACCCCUUACCUACUCAAAGAUCCAGCUAGAGUACCGGUACUCCACUUGAAUACCGGUACUCGGGUCUUCAGCCCGCAGCUUCGCACACUGGGUACUGGUACCAGCCCGAUGUAGUACCGGUACCCGAGCUCGAUACCGGUACUCGAUAGGUUAGUACCGGUAGUCAGCAUCUCCUCACGCAAACUCGAGAGCUCUCAUCUCUGCCAUCCAGCAGGGGUACCGGUACUCCUCUCAGGUACCGGUACUCAACACUGAACUCCUGCACUUUGUGGAUUUCAGUGUCAGAUUUCUGCUUUCGUAUCGUCCUGAGUCCGUUUUGCGUCCAUUUCACGCCAAAACAACUCCGACUUGUUCCGACACUCUCCAGACAUGUCGACAAACCUCAGAUGCGGAAACCUCAAAGGCAGUCAAACACCAGGGAUACUACACGAAAGUACUUUAACUUUAAAAUUUGAAUGUGUCGUUUAUCAUUACAAGUUUAGUUAGUAUACUUCAUAUUAUUCAUGCAACUAUAAAUUCAUUAAAAUAAAAAAAUAGUUUAAAAUUCAAAAUCAAAUUGCUCCUUACUGAGUCAAAUCAAACAAAUUUAAAGAUUGGGGAGUAUAAUCAAUCUUGUUGGAUUUGAAUUAGCAAACAACACUUUUACUUCAAAUUUGAAAAGAUCAUUUAUUUUUAUAAGUUCAGUUAGUAUACUUCAUAUAAUUCAUACAACUAUAAAUUUAUUAAAGUAAAAAAAUAGCUUUAAUUUUGAAAUUAGAGUACUGUUGGUUGUCUUAGAUCAAACAAAUUAAAAAAUUGUAUAGUAAAAUCAAAAUUUUUAAAAGAUUAGAUAGUAAAUUCAAGAUGACCAAUAAUCCAGGUAAGUUCCGUUCGUUUUAAACUCUCCUAAGUAUCGUAGAGAGACACUUUUGGCUCUCAUCCAAUGCAUGUUCUUAAGCUUCUUUUGAGUCACGGCAAACUCACUUAUCAGAAUCUAUGCACGAUGCUAGUUAACUCGUGGGCUCGUGGCUCUACAACCCUACUAUUUUGAGUGCACCAACUAUUUGAAUCCGUACUCCUAAGCUGCACCUGUUAAACCCAACUAUUUUUGAAUAUAUAUCAAAUAUCAUGCCACGUUAUAAUAACUCUUCGCAAUCUCAUCAUGUUCAUAAGAGUUAUAACCUGGUUGCAUCACACCACUUAAAUGAAUAACCCAAAAUCGCCAAACCUUUUGUUCGGUAGUUAUUUGGUAGUAGCCCAAACCCACAUAGAUUUGAGGAUAUAACAUAUCUAAAAAUUGAUCAAACCUAAAAACUUAAACCAGGCCUUUUUUUCUUUUCUUUUUUUUUUGGAGAGAUAUGUAGUAUGCUAUUUGUUUUGUUUAUCUCAUUUAGAAAUAAAUUUACCUGAAAAUGUGAAUCAACUAGGAUUCGAAUUUGGGACAUCGGGUACGAACCACCAAAUCCUUUGCCACUUGUGUUGGGGAUGGUUGAUAACCGGGCCUUUUAGUGUGUGUGUGCAUGUCUCUAUAUAUAUAUAUAUAUAUAUAGAGAGAGAGAGAGAGAGAGAGAGAGAGAGAGAGAGAGAGAGAGAGAGAGAGCCAGUCACCUAUACUAUCUAUAGUAUCAGGACUUUGGUACUAUAGUCUCGUUUCGAUCUUAGGGUGUUCAAAUCAACGAUCCACACCGUUAAAAUUGAUCUAGCAUAUUUAAAGUUUUUAGAGAUAAAAUUUUAUAUUUUUUCGACAUAGUUUAUUUUAUGAUCAAACUAUUUCAAAAUUGUCAAUUUUCAAUGGCUAUUAUGGCUAGUUUGGAGUUAACGGUGUAGAAGAAUCUAAAUUUCUUCAAAUUUUGAUAGAAAAUACUUUAAACUAUCUAGAUUAAGGUCAACAUUCUUGAUCUUGAAUUUAAAAGUCCUAUAAUCAAAUUUUAAAGAUUAUUCAAUUUUCACCGUCCAUUUUGACAUAAUUUAUUUACUAAGUAAACGAUGUCGAAAAAAAACUAAAAUUUUAUUCAUAAAAACUUCAUAUACCCUAUAUUAUAUUUAAUGGUAUGUAUCGUUAAUUUGAACACUCUAAGAUUGAAAAUAAGAUUAGAGUAUUGGAGCUCCGGUAAUAUAGAUAGUAUAGCAGUCAAUUUCUCUUCCUUUUGAAUUUCUCUCAAAUUUCUCUUUUCUCUCUUAUCCUAACCAUCCAUCAAAAUUGAUGGGCGGUUAAAGAAUUAGGAGCACAAAGGCUGCUGUGCUCCUAAUAGCAUAGUAGCCCUGCUAUAUAUAUAUAUAUAUAUAUAUAUAUAUAUAUAUAGUUGAGCUAGAAUACUAUCGAUAGCAAACGGGCUCCGUUGUCACCCAUUUAUUUUCGAUGAUGGAGCGUUCAAAUCGAUGAUCGGCACCAUUGAACAUGAUCUAUACCACUUGAAGUGUUUAGAAAUCAAAUUUCAUAUAUUUUCGAUAUUGUUCUCUUAUCCAUUUAUUGUUCUCUCCUCCAUUGAAUAGAAAUCAAAUUUCAUAUAUCUUUUUCUUUUGAAUUAGAUGGAAGAAUAUUAAUGAAAUUAGAAUAUGAGU